rnacentral:sRNA from 1 species
GUUCUCUGCCAGGUGUCACCUCCUCAGAGAGCCUUUUCUGGCCACCCACCGCACUGCUCUGUCCAUACUCCCUGCCUCUUGUUCUUCGCAGCUAUUUUCCCUGCUGGGAUCUCAGUCCUGCAAGGGCGGGGAGUGACGUUCACCACUGAGAACGUGCCUGGCACAGAGCGGGCACUCAGCCAACUUCUGCUGAAUGAACAGAGGGAAUGGGCUGAAAUGAAGGGGAAGCUGAGGCAGGGGUGCAGGGCUGUGAGGAUUGGGGAGAAUCUGGGCACAAUGGGAUGAUAGGCUUGGAGACAAAUGGAUGGAGCCAGGCAAGGAGAAGAGGGCAGCUGAGCCUGGAGUCUGAGGAUGGAACAUCAGAGCUGCGAGAGGGCCAGAGGUGAUCUCAGGCAAUGAGGACCCUGAGGGAGUGGUGCUGAAGGACCUUGGGCCCCCCAUGGUUGCCCGACUGGUUCGCUUCUACCCCCGGGCUGACCGGGUCAUGAGUGUCUGUCUGCGGGUGGAGCUCUAUGGCUGCCUCUGGAGGGAUGGACUCCUGUCUUACACCGCCCCUGUGGGGCAGACAAUGUACUUAUCUGAGGCCGUGUACCUCAACGACUCCACCUAUGAUGGACAUACCGUGGGCGGACUGCAGUAUGGGGGUCUGGGCCAGCUGGCAGAUGGAGUGGUGGGGCUGGAUGACUUUAGGAAGAGUCAGGAGCUGCGGGUCUGGCCAGGCUAUGACUAUGUGGGAUGGAGCAACCACAGCUUCUCCAGUGGCUACAUGGAGAUGGAGUUUGAGUUUGACCGGCUGAGGGCCUUCCAGGCUAUGCAGGUCCACUGUAACAACAUGC